GUCCGGACCCAGCCGGGUCAUCGUGUCCUCAUCCUCCUCGUCCUCAUCGUCGGGCUCCAGGGUGCUGCGGGGGUCUCGGCAAGGAGCGGGGCCCCGGGGCCGCGGGCGGGGCGCGCAGGAGAUGCUGAUGACCAGGAGGCACAGGAUAGGUCAACAAUGCAUCUGGCUUCUCUGGAACCACUCGCUCUCCCUGAGGACCCUGGAGACCAGGGGCUGGCCAAAAGGGAUGGAAACUUCUCAGGACAUCUCUCAGUAUGUGACACCAGUGAGGGCAGACUCAACCUUCUCUCAUUUGCGUCUCCAGAAAUGCCAUCAGACUCAUGGGCUCACCUUGGGAGGAACCAGUCUGUCUGACAGGCCUGUGCAGACCCGAUAUUGCUUUGAAAAGGAGAAAGCCACACAUGGAAAGCAGGCCCUGGGGUCCUGGG